rnacentral:rRNA from 1 species
UUCCUACGGGGGGCUGCAGUAGGGAAUAUUGGGCAAUGGAGGCAACUCUGACCCAGCCAUGCCGCGUGCAGGAUGACGGCCCUCUGGGUUGUAAACUGCUUUUAUACGGGAAGAAAAAAUACUACGUGUAGUAUACUGACGGUACCGUAAGAAUAAGGAUCGGCUAACUCCGUGCCAGCAGCCGCGGUAAUACGGAGGAUCCAAGCGUUGUCCGGAUUUAUUGGGUUUAAAGGGUGCGUAGGCGGAUCUUUAAGUCAGUGGUGAAAGCCUGCAGCUUAACUGUAGAAUUGCCAUUGAAACUGAAGAUCUUGAAUGUGGUUAAAGUAGGCGGAAUGUAUCAUGUAGCGGUGAAAUGCUUAGAUAUGAUACAGAACACCGAUAGCGAAGGCAGCUUGCUGAACCAUUAUUGACGCUGAGGCACGAAAGCGUGGGGAGCGAACAGGAUUAGAUACCCGAGUAGUCGU